AGUGAACGCUGGCGGUAUGCCUAACACAUGCAAGUCGAACGGCAGCACAGAGGAGCUUGCUCCUUGGGUGGCGAGUGGCGGACGGGUGAGGAAUACAUCGGAAUCUACUCUGUCGUGGGGGAUAACGUAGGGAAACUUACGCUAAUACCGCAUACGACCUACGGGUGAAAGCAGGGGACCUUCGGGCCUUGCGCGAUUGAAUGAGCCGAUGUCGGAUUAGCUAGUUGGCGGGGUAAAGGCCCACCAAGGCGACGAUCCGUAGCUGGUCUGAGAGGAUGAUCGGCCACACGGGAACUGAGACACGGUCCAGACUCCUACGGGAGGCAGCAGUGGGGAAUAUUGGACAAUGGGCGCAAGCCUGAUCCAGCCAUACCGCGUGGGUGAAGAAGGCCUUCGGGUUGUAAAGCCCUUUUGUUGGGAAAGAAAUCCAGCUGGCUGAUACCCGGUUGGGAUGACGGUACCCAAGGAAUAAGCACCGGCUAACUUCGUGCCAGCCGCCGCGGUAA
rnacentral:rRNA from 1 species